rnacentral:misc_RNA from 1 species
AAGCAGAUUACAAGAUUCAAGUUUCAUGUACAUUGCACAGUAAUAACUUAUUUAAGCAUGUAGAUCGCACUUCAGGAAGCGAGUACAAAAGGAAAUGAGGAAAGUGGAAAUCUAAAAACAACUUCAAAACAGAACCAUUGGAGGAAAUCCUUCCUUAUUUGUGGGGGAUUACCACUUGGUAAAUAUCAUUGAUCAAAAGACUUUUGAUCACAGUACAUUAAAAAUAUAACUUGAUUCAUGUAAGCGGGUACACCGCUGACAGAUUAUAUAUACCCAAUAAUUAUUUUAACCGAUUUAACCACAAAGGAUUUCUAGUCCUCCUGAACUCAAUUGGAUAGCAAGUUGCACCAAAUAAAAAACAAAUACGCCAAAUAAAGAAAUCAUCAAUGAUAGAAUAAGUGAUAAAAAUGAAAGCAUAAAAGCGACAUCAUAGGCCAGAAGCAAUUUCCUGUAGCCUGUAGGAGACUAGUGGAUCGGGGGAAAACAAUUGCAACUUAUAAGAGCUGAACAAUUUGACGAAUUAUAGGUUUAUCACUAUUAGACGAUUCGUCGAGGGUGGUUGAAGAGUCUGCACAGAGGAUCUCGAGUGUACUCGCUAUUCAGUAUUCAGAACACUAAUAGGAACUACUGAGAACGGGGAGCUCUGAAAUAUUGUAACUUUUUAAGUGGGGUACUUAAGUUUAUGAAGUGGUAGAGAAAUUUUAACACAACCUAUAAUUCAUACAACGACCUACCGUUCGAGUACUGGAAAUAUUUAGACUUGGCUGCAAUCGAGAUAGUAACGUUGAAAAAUAAGUUCCAUAACAGUGGUCAUCGCAAGUGGACGCUAACAAUGUUCAACUUCACGGAUUUGAGGCAUUUUUUCGACUACAGUGAUUACGAACUCAUAGAGGGCAAUAUUACGGACUUUUCCCCCUAUUAUCAUACGGAGCAGCCCACGGUGGACAUGUCUACUAACAAGUACCUCAUAGGCUUCGGCUCGGCUCUCGUCGCCUGGGUCAUCAUCAGCAACCUGACAGUGAUCAUCUCCGUACUGACGUCACGGAGAUUUAGUGAUCAACCAAUGAAAUUGUUCAUCGUAAAUCUCAGUCUUAGUGACGUUCUGGUCGGCUUGUUGGUGAUACCGUUCGCUCUACACACACAGGUGGCCGAAUCCUGGAAGCUUGGACUGGUAGCUUGCAGGGUGUGGAUCUUUUUGGACUGGCUUUGUGGAUGUUUGUCCAUGUAUGGAUUACUCAUGUUGAAUUUAGACAGGUUCAUAUUUGCCCUGCGUCCAGUCAAAUACAACCAUUGGAUGUCGUUGAAAUCGCAUUGUGCAGUGGUCGUUAUGUUAUUGUUGCCAUGGCUAACGUCUGCCAUUGUGGCGAUCCCCUUGACAACAGACGCUGAAAGUGCCCGGAUAGAUCAUAUCCAGUCCCUACAGGUUUGCACCAGUGGUUCAAGCCCCGUCUUCAUGAUUGGUUCGUCUGCGGCGUUAUUCUUCCUCCCAAUGACACUCGUACUCGGAAUGUCACUCGUUACCAUGUUAGUAGCGUUCAUAUCCCAUAGCAACCGCUAUACAGAGAAUAUAGAUGGCGGUAUCCAGCAGAGCUUCAGAAAGGCUAAAUCAACAUCGGUUGCCAUGUUGAUAGUAAAUCUGGUAUACCUUGUGAUGUGGUGUCCGUAUUUCUCGCUACUCGUUAUUCUAGGUCUGUCCGAUGGUUGUUCAGAGGCAUGCCCCGACCCCCUACUUUUCCACGUCAUGUACUGGAUAGGCUACUCUAACGCGGGUAUAAACCCAAUCCUUUGGUUAAUGUUUGGGGAUGUACGACAGUGUGUCAAGAGGGUGCUGUGUUGCAAAUCAUGUAAAAAGAACGAUUCUAGAACUGAGCUAGUAAUGGCUAAUUCGCCAAAAAGUGCGAUGCUAAAUGACUAUACUGCAAUGGAAAAUAGUUCCAGUACUGAAACAGUUGCCAAUAAUUUCAACGAGAGUCCGAAAGAAAAAUUAGUAGAUAAAUCGAGCUAUUGAUUUGUCAAUUUGAAAAUACCUUAAUUCAAAGGCUUUUGUCACUAACCCAAUUGGACAAAGAAGAAGAUUCUUACAAUUUCAAUCAAAAUAUUUUGAUCUAAUUCGAAAUUCAACAGUUAUCUAGUUUUAAUACCCGCUAGAUGAAGGCUAACAAUAACAUGGUUUUACUACUUGGCUGAUGAUGUUGAUCGUAUUCUAAUUUGUAAAAAAACAUUGUAAAUAUAAUGUAAAUAUAUUAUUUAUUCAGUAAAUUACAUAUUAUGCACUGAAGUAGUAAAUAUGACGAAAUAAAGC